rnacentral:snRNA from 1 species
UUACCUUUCUCCGCCUUUUGGCUAGGGGUGUGUUUAGUUCACGAAAAGAAAAUAUUUGGGUGGGAACUAAACUGUUCUUACCAGUUUAAUAUCUAAUGUGUGGGCCAUGUGUCCAUUUUGAUAUUAAAUUUAUUUUUUGUGGGGGAGGGCCCAUCACAGUGGCUUGCCACUGGGCCCUCGCGCGUCGCCCAGGCUUUGCACUGUUGCCCGGGCCUGGCGCACCCAAC